CAGGUAUUGUGGAAUUCAGCUUUGACUACAUCGAUACGUAAAAAAAAAUGUAAAUUGCUAAAUGCCUACUGUGUACCUAUGUUUGUCCUCUGUAGUUGCGUGCCUUUGCUGAAACCCAUACCUUUUCAAUAAACUUUAACCAAAUACAAUCAACAGUUUCCUUGUUGAGAUUCAAUUGGCACAUAACGUCGUUGCCAUUUUAGAGCAACGGCAAUGAGCAAACACUCGGUGGUUGUAUUUGGAUUUCAGCAAAGGCACGCAACUACAGAGGACAAGCGUAGGUACACGGUAAGUGUUUCACAAUUUAAAUGUUUUGAAGUAUUGACCUUGGGCGAAUCGAUGAAGUUGGUGCUUAGAUCUCACAAAGCCUGAUCUCUGAUCCACUCGGUUGGUAGAGUCGUCAGAAAUGUCUUUCACCGUAGAGUUUAGUACGCUAAGCAAAGGGUUGAAAUUGGAUUGAAUAGCAACAUUAUGGAGUAGUCUGUGAUUGGCCUUGGUUGGCGCACGCGCAGUGGGAUAUACGGCAAACUUGUGGAAGUUGGGAAUUCGCCAUGAAGCUUUAUCAAAAGGUGUUGCGUACGACUCGAGAGAGCACUGGAAAGUGAUUUUUUUGGAAUAGCGCUAAGGUCGCCCUUCAAGAAGUUGACGCCUGUGAAGUUAUUCUUUUUGAAUUGGAUCCACAGUGGGGGGGUGAAGAUGAUGUCCGAUGCCAGCGAGAUGUUGGCAGCCGCGUUGGAGCAAAUGGAUGGG